UACGAAGGGAGCUAGCGUUGUUCGGAAUCACUGGGCGUAAAGCGCGCGUAGGCGGCUUUGUAAGUUAGAGGUGAAAGCCCGGGGCUCAACCCCGGAACUGCCUUUAAAACUGCAUCGCUUGAAUCCGGGAGAGGUGAGUGGAAUUCCGAGUGUAGAGGUGAAAUUCGUAGAUAUUCGGAAGAACACCAGUGGCGAAGGCGGCUCACUGGACCGGCAUUGACGCUGAGGUGCGAAAGCGUGGGGAGCAAACAGG
rnacentral:rRNA from 1 species